rnacentral:sRNA from 1 species
ACGCUUGGGCAGCAGGCAUGUGCUUGUCGCAUGACCUUCUAGCUUCCUUCUUGGUGUCUCCUUGCAUUGGCCUGGAGUGGCCCAGAAUGUGUGGAGCAAAGACCCAGUUUCCUUGCUGCCCCAUCCCUCCUCAGGAGACACCGAGGGCCUGAAUGUCCGGAGCCGGCUGCUGGCAUGGGUGCUGUGGCUGCAGGCCUGGCGGGUGGCAGCCCCGUGCCCAGGUGCCUGCGUAUGCUACAAUGAGCCCAAGGUGACGACAAGCUGCCCCCAGCAGGGACUGCAGGCUGUGCCCGUGGGCAUCCCUGCCGCCAGCCAGCGCAUCUUCCUGCACGGCAACCGCAUCUCGCAUGUGCCAGCUGCCAGCUUCCGCGCCUGCCGCAACCUCACCAUCCUGUGGCUGCACUCGAAUGUGCUGGCCCGAAUUGACGCGGCCGCCUUCACCGGCCUGGCCCUCCUGGAGCAGCUGGACCUCAGCGAUAAUGCACAGCUCCGGUCUGUGGACCCUGCCACAUUCCACGGGCUGGGCCGCCUGCACACGCUGCACCUGGACCGCUGCGGCCUGCAGGAGCUGGGUCCGGGGCUGUUCCGCGGCCUGGCUGCCCUGCAGUACCUCUACCUGCAGGACAACGCGCUGCAGGCGCUGCCUGAUGACACCUUCCGCGACCUGGGCAA